UUUUGUAGACAUUGGGGGGUCGUGAAGACUCUAUCAGUUAGUAUUUGUUCUCGAAAGGGCUUCGAUUAAUAUUGAAUAAUCAGACAUAGUACGCUAAGGUUGUAUGUCUAAAGGGAAACAGCCCAGAACAAGUGUAAGUAAGGUUCCAAAAUUAUUAUUAAGUGAAACAAAGGUAGUUUAUCUUUUAAACGUCCAGGAAAUUGGCUUAGAGGCGGCCAUUUUUUAAAGACCUCGUAACAGAGCACUGGUUUUAUUAUAGAUUAUAUAUAAUAUAAUUAUAUAUCGAGAUAAGCACCGACGAUUCCACGGAUCUAAAUAAUAUACCGAAACCUUGUCCAUGUUUAUUUAUAUAUAUGCUUGUGUAUAUAGUAUUUGUUCUCGGGAGGGCUUUGAUCAAAGUACAAGGGGAGUAUAAAUAUAUAUAUAUAUAUGAGUUAUAUAUAUUAGAAUGGGGUAGCGGAACAUUGGGCAAACCACAUUUUUUUUUUAUAAAAAUUUUUAGGUACCCCAAGUGAUAAUGCUGACAUGAGUAACGAUAAGGGGAUAAAUCCCUCGCCUAAAGCUUAUGGUAUUUAGUUAAAGUAACGGCCUCUAAGUUUAUAAAUAAAAAACUAAAGUAUUUUCCCUAACUAGGGAUAAUGAUUUAAAGUAUUUUAGUUAACCUAAAGGAUUAAACGAUGAGCAAAUCUUUAGAAUAAAAAUAUAUAUAAAUAACAUUUUAAACAAUUUUUCUUCGUUAGACUUUCGUUAGACUUUCGUUAGAAAAGUGUAAAAGUGAAAAGUGUUCUGGAAAAUUGUAUUUUUUACCGCUUUACCUAAAACGUGUGGAUGUUACACACUCGUGGAAGAUAAACUAAAUAGAUGAACACGAGAUUUAAAGUGGUUACCGUACCUAGAUACUACCACAAGUAAGCAAGUAGAG
rnacentral:rRNA from 1 species